AAUGAACGCUGGCGGCGUGCCUAAUACAUGCAAGUCGAGCGAACAGAUGAGGAGCCUGCUCCUCUGACGUUAGCGGCGGACGGGUGAGUAACACGUGGAUAACCUACCUAUAAGACUGGGAUAACUUCGGGAAACCGGAGCUAAUACCGGAUAAUAUAUUGAACCGCAUGGUUCAAUAGUGAAAGACGGUUUUGCUGUCACUUAUAGAUGGAUCCGCGCCGCAUUAGCUAGUUGGUAAGGUAACGGCUUACCAAGGCAACGAUGCGUAGCCGACCUGAGAGGGUGACCAGCCACACUGGAACUGAGACACGGUCCAGACUCCUACGGGAGGCAGCAGUAGGGAAUCUUCCGCAAUGGGCGAAAGCCUGACGGAGCAACGCCGCGUGAGUGAUGAAGGUCUUCGGAUCGUAAAACUCUUUUAUUAGGGAAGAACAAAUGUGUAAGUAACUAUGCACGUCUUGACGGUACCUAAUCAGAAAGCCACGGCUAACUACGUG
rnacentral:rRNA from 1 species